GGCUCAGGAUGAACGCUAGCGGCAGGCUUAACACAUGCAAGUCGAGGGGCAUCGGGAGUAGCAAUACUUGCCGGCGACCGGCGCAAGGGUGCGUAACGCGUGAGCAACAUGCCCGUAUCAGGGGGAUAAUCCAUGGAAACGUGGUCUAAUACCCCAUAGUAAUUAUGUAAGGCAUCUUAUAUAAUUUAAAGCUUUGGUGGAUACGGAUUGGCUCGCGUGACAUUAGCUAGACGGUAAGGUAACGGCUUACCAUGGCUACGAUGUCUAGGGGUUCUGAGAGGAAGGUCCCCCACACUGGAGCUGAGACACGGUCCAGACUCCUACGGGAGGCAGCAGUGAGGAAUAUUGGACAAUGGAUGGAAAUCUGAUCCAGCCAUGCCGCGUGACAGGAAGACGGCCCUAUGGGUUAGUAAACUGUCUUUUGUAUGGGAGCAAGUAAGGGCUACGUGUAGUCCGAUGAGAGUACCAUACGAAUAAGCACCGGCUAACUCCGUGCCAGCAGCGGC
rnacentral:rRNA from 1 species